rnacentral:rRNA from 1 species
UUCCUGUACUUGGUGUUACUGCGAAGGGGGACGGAGAAGGCUAUGUUAGCCGGGCGACGGUUGUCCCGGUUUAAGCAUGUAGGCUGGUUAUCCAGGCAAAUCCGGAUAAUCAAGGCUGAGGUGUGAUGACGAGGCACUACGGUGCUGAAGUAACAAAUGCCCUGCUUCCAGGAAAAGCCUCUAAGCAUCAGGUAACAUCAAAUCGUACCCCAAACCGACACAGGUGGUCAGGUAGAGAAUACCAAGCGCUUGAGAGAACUCGGGUGAAGGAACUAGGCAAAAUGGUGCCGUAACUUCGGGAGAAGGCACGCUGGUGUGUAGGUGAAGCCCCUGCGGGUGGAGCUGAGACCAGUCGAAGAUACCAGCUGGCUGCAACUGUUUAUUAAAAACACAGCACUGUGCAAACACGAAAGUGGACGUAUACGGUGUGACGCCUGCCCGUGCCGGAAGGUUAAUUGAUGGGGUUAUCC